AUAUUCUAUCCGCAUAAAUUGUGAGAAAGCUGAGAGAGAAGAGGACGAGGCCCAGGCCUUAGAGUCAACGGUUCGGAGUCCUGGAGGCUGCAGGCCCACACUCACCCGAUGGAGCUCUGUCUGGAACCCAGGGUUAAGCUCCGCUGGGGGGGCCUCCCUCGCCUGCCGUUCUGUCCUGAGACGUUUCCCAUCUCCCGUGGUCCUGAUACCCCAGGGCUACCCCCGAGACGCCUGGAGCCCUUUAGGAAGUCAGGGUCAGAAAGACAGAAAUGCUGGAAGAACUCUGGGCUUCACCAUGCUGGCUUCAGGGGGUCCCGGGCCACACACAGUGGACUACACAAGUCCAGGGCUCCUCUCCGCCGGGUGAGGGGGCUUGGACGCCCCUGAGACGGAGGGAAAACAGGGAAGGCAUUUUCAAGGUGUGAAAAGGUCAGCUCGGCCUGGAGUUUUCAGUAGGGACCCUGGAGAGAAGAGAGAGGCCAUCUCCACGUCACACGUCUGGGGAACACACCGCGGCCCCCCGCUUCCCCCUACUCCUCCACUGAGAGGUCCAAGCCCCAGAGGGGU